UAUAUACUUCCUCCGUCCGGAAAUACUUGUCCUAGACAUGAAUGUAUCUAGGCUUAUUUUCGUUAUAGAUACAUCCAUUUUAUUCAUUUUUAGGACAAGUAUUUUCGGUCGGAGGAAGUACUAC
rfam:Hordeum vulgare subsp. vulgare, WGS project CAJW01000000 data, contig: morex_contig_136814